rnacentral:rRNA from 1 species
CUUGGUCAUUUAGAGGAAGUAAAAGUCGUAACAAGGUCUCCGUAGGUGAACCUGCGGAGGGAUCAUUACCGAGCGAGGGCCUCCGGGUCCGACCUCCAACCCUUUGUGAACACAUCCCGUUGCUUCGGGGGCGACCCUGCCGGGCGCCCCCGGAGGACCACCAAAAAACACUGCAUCUCUGCGUCGGAGUUUACGAGUAAAUCGAAACAAAACUUUCAACAACGGAUCUCUUGGUUCUGGCAUCGAUGAAGAACGCAGCGAAAUGCGAUAAGUAAUGUGAAUUGCAGAAUUCAGUGAAUCAUCGAAUCUUUGAACGCACAUUGCGCCCCCUGGUAUUCCGGGGGGCAUGCCCGUUCGAGCGUCAUUACACCACUCCAGCCUCGCUGGGUAUUGGGCGUCUUUUCGCGGGGGAUCACUCCCCCGCGCGCCUCAAAGUCUCCGGCUGAGCGGUCUCGUCUCCCAGCGUUGUGGCAUCACGUCUCGCCGCGGAGUUCACGAGCCCUCACGGCCGUUAAAUCACACCUCAGGUUGACCUCGGAUCGGGUAGGGAUACCCGCUGAACUUAAGCAUAUCAAUAAGCGGAGGA